rnacentral:rRNA from 1 species
UAGGGAAUUUUGCGCAAUGGGGGAAACCCUGACGCAGCAACACCGCGUGAAUGUUAAGCCCUUCGGGGUGUAAAGUUCUGUCAGUGGGGACGAAAUAUGACUGUACCCACAAAGGAAGCACCGGCUAACUCCGUGCCAGCAGCCGCGGUAAUACGGGGGGUGCAAGCGUUGUCCGGAAUGAUUGGGCGUAAAGGGCGCGUAGGCGGCCUGGUAAGUUUGGAGUGAAAGUCCUAUUUUUAAGGUGGGAAUUGCUUUGAAAACUGCUGGGCUUGAGUGCAGGAGAGGUUAGUGGAAUUCCCGGUGUAGCGGUGAAAUGCGUAGAUAUUAGGAGGAACACCAGUGGCGAAGGCGGCUUACUGGACUGUAACUGACGUUGAGGCUCGAAAGCGUGGGGAGCAAACA